rnacentral:rRNA from 1 species
AUUUUAGGUCUGACCUGCCCACUGAAUUUUUAAAUGGCCGCAGUAUUUUGACUGUGCAAAGGUAGCAUAAUAAUUAGUUUUUUAAUUUAAAGCUUGUAUGAAGGGUUGGACGAAAUAAAAUCUGUCUCUAUUUAAUUAAAUUUAGAAUUUAACUUUUAAGUUAAAAGGCUUAAAUAUUAUUAAAAGACGAGAAGACCCUAUAGAUCUUUAUAUUUUUUUUUAUAAUUUUAAUUAGGAAUUAUUAAUUUUUUAUUAAAGAAAGUAUUUUAUUGGGGUAAUAUAAAGAUUAAAAAAAUUCUUUUUUAUUUAAACAUAUAUUUAUGGUAUUAAUGAUCCAAUUUUAUUGAUUAUAAGAUUAAGUUACCUUAGGGAUAACAGCGUAAUUUUUUUUGAGAGUUCUUAUCGAUAAGAAAGUUUGCGACCUCGAUGUUGGAUUAAAGGUUAUUUUAGGUGUAGAAGCUUAAUAAUUUUGGUCUGUUCGACCAUUAAAUCUUUACAUGAUCUGAGUUCAGACCGGUGUAAGCCAGGUCGGUUUCUAUCUUUAAUAAAUUAAAAUAAUUUAGUACGAAAGGACCAAUUAUUUAAUAUAUUUAUAUUUUAUUUUUGAAUAUUAUUAA